AACUGAUCACUGGUUGCAUAUUUUCGUCAAAAAUACCAGAAAAUCCGAUGAGACCCGCUCAACUUAAUUUGAAAUGAUUGGCUAUUCAACCGAAUACACAGUGCCAUAUUUGGGUUACUAUUAAAAGUAGAUCGUUCUUUUUGUAUUCGAGAAGACUUGGAUGAAGAGGAUUACACAAUACUGAGGUGGAAACAUCUGUAUAAUACGAUAAUAUAUAAUUCAGUAUUUUAAAGUAAAGGUUGUCAAAUGAACGGGACAUAUUACUGAUAUUACCUCUUAUAAACAAAACUAAUAAGCGUAUGACUUAUUCAGGGCACUUGCAAUGUAUGGGAACCAGUCUACAAGGCUACAAAAUUCCGCCAAGAAUAAACAAAGACUGAAAGAGAUUGCGGGAUGUUGUUUACGUGUGUCACUCGACACUGACUGCAAGAAACAAAGAGUGGAGAACUAAUGCAUGGUGCUAAGUAUGGAGAGGUCUCUUGUGGAUUGGUUGUGCCAGAGACAAAUGUACAUUAUUUCCAUGUUGGGUCAGAAGUCUCGGUACACUUUGGGUGAGUGGCAGUUGGGAAGAUGGAUGACCUUCAGAUAGUUUGAGAUGAAGAAGUUUUUUUCAAAUGAUUGAAAGUGAUCAUCACAGAAUCAACUCCAUUUUGAAGAUAAAUUACAAGCAAGUCAGCACUCCUUUUGUCCAACACCUGAGAGAUCUGAGUACCCAGCCUACUGUUGAAUUAAUUAGUGACCAAGAAAAGAUGACAGAGAGGGGAAUCAAAUGUGGAUGCCAUCUUGAUCAAGAAUAUAUACACUGACUAGAAAAUAUCUGAAAAUAUAUAGAUGAACAUUCAAGCAUUUAUAAUAAUGAAAGUUAUUCAGCAAGAGAGUUUUUGCACAAGUUUAAUUUUCAGUAAAAUUAUGUAUAUUGUGCACUGAGGAACUUAGUAUGUAACUCAUUAUGAUUAUCCAUUUCUUUAGAGGAUUUAUUUGGAGUAUACUUAAAUAAUCAUUAUCUUCUAGAAAAG